rnacentral:rRNA from 1 species
CUAGUUGGUAGGGUAAAGGCCUACCAAGGCGACGAUCUUUAGCUGGUCUGAGAGGAUGAUCAGCCACAUUGGGACUGAGACACGGCCCAAACUCCUACGGGAGGCAGCAGUGGGGAAUAUUGGACAAUGGGGGCAACCCUGAUCCAGCAAUACCGCGUGUGUGAAGAAGGCCUGAGGGUUGUAAAGCACUUUCAAUUGUGAAGAAAAGCUAGCGGUUAAUAGCCGUUAGCCUUGACGUUAACUUUAGAAGAAGCACCGGCUAACUCCGUGCCAGCAGCCGCGGUAAUACGGAGGGUGCAAGCGUUAAUCGGAAUUACUGGGCGUAAAGCGUGCGUAGGCGGUUUAUUAAGUCAGAUGUGAAAGCCCCGGGCUUAACCUGGGAACUGCAUUUGAAACUGGUCAACUAGAGUAUGGUAGAGGAAAGUGGAAUUUCUGGUGUAGCGGUGAAAUGCGUAGAUAUCAGAAGGAACAUCAAUGGCGAAGGCAACUUUCUGGACCAAUACUGACGCUGAGGUACGAAAGCGUGGGUAGCAAACAGGAUUAGAUACCCUGGUAGUCCACGCCGUAAACGAUGAUAACUAGCCGUUGGGGGGAUUUACCCCUUAGUGGCGAAGCUAACGCGUUAAGUUAUCCGCCUGGGGAGUACGGCCGCAAGGUUAAAACUCAAAUGAAUUGACGGGGACCCGCACAAGCGGUGGAGCAUGUGGUUUAAUUCGAUGCAACGCGAAGAACCUUACCUGGUCUUGACAUCCUGCGAACUUUCUAGAGAUAGAUUGGUGCCUUCGGGAACUCAGUGACAGGUGCUGCAUGGCUGUCG